rnacentral:rRNA from 1 species
UACGUAGGGGGCAAGCGUUGUCCGGAUUUAUUGGGCGUAAAGAGCGUGUAGGCGGCCACUUAGGUCAGCUGUGAAAACUCGAGGCUCAACCUCGAGACGUCGGUUGAAACCGUAUGGCUAGAGUCCGGAAGAGGAGAGUGGAAUUCCCGGUGUAGCGGUGAAAUGCGCAGAUAUCGGGAAGAACACCCGUGGCGAAGGCGGCUCUCUGGGACGGUACUGACGCUGAGACGCGAAAGCGUGGGGAGCGAACAGG